AAAAGAGGCAGCUGGAAGGUAAUAGAAAGAGACUGGGUACCAGAACUGGAAGACCUGCCUCAUGCAGUGAUGGAUGGGCCAUGAGGACGUGCAGUCAUUUAUCCAGCAGAGCACAGACAGUGUGUGUGCACCCACAUACACACCAAACUCCCUCUAAGAACACUACGCUACUCUCAGAGCAAUGGGCUUUGGACAAAUGGGAAACUGAGGUUUGGGGUUAAAUAACUUGAAUCUGAAGACUUCUAACGCUCAUUACCGUUUAUCUAGGAGAGUCUUCCUGUGUGCCAGUAUUGUGGAUGAGGAAUACAGGAAGAGUAAGCUGGGCCAUUCCCCUCUGGUCCACUUAUUUUCAGCUGGGGCACCUGGAACAGAAUGAAUCACAAGAUAGUUUCUUCACUCACAUGGGUGGCACCUCUGUGCUCCUUGGCAUCUCUCUCUAUAUGGAGUUUCAUCCUUCAUGUCCUCUCCAUGGACCUGGUUUUAACUUCUCACAAAGUAGUGACCUCCAGAUAGUUGGACAUCUUGCAUGGUGGCUCAGGGCUCCAAGAGAACAAGGCAGAAACUGCCAGUCUCCUUAAGCUCUAGACCUAGAACUGGCGUAGUGUCUCUUAUGCCCAUCUCUAUUGGUCAAGGUUGUCACAAACAAGCCCAGAUUCAAGGGGAAGGAAAUGGACCUCAUCUCUUAAUGAGAGGAGUAUCAAAAAAUUGGCAGCCUUGAUUUGCAUUUCUUUAAUGAUUAGUGAUGUUGAGCAUUCUUUCAUGUGUUUGUUGGCAAUCUGUAUAUCUUCUUUGGAGAAAUGUCUAUUUAGGUCUUCUGCCCAUUUUUGGUUGGGUUGUUUGUUUUUUUGAUAUUGAGCAAAAACUAAAGAUAGAACUACCAUACAACCCAGCAAUCCCACUACUGGGCAUAUACCCUGAGAAAACCAUAACUCGAAAGAGUCAUGUACCACAGUGUUCACUGCAGCUCUAUUUACAAUAGCCGGGACAUGGAAGCAACCUAAGUGUCCAUCGACAGAUGAAUGGAUAAAGAAGAUGUGGCACAUAUAUACAAUGGAAUAUUACUCAGCCAUAAAAAGAAAUGAAAUUGAGUUAUUUGUAGUGAGGUGGAUGGACCUAGAGUCUGUCAUACAGAGUGAAGUAAGUCAGAAAGAGAAAAACAAAUACCUUAUGCUAACACAUAUAUAUGGAAUCUAAAAAAAAAAAAAAAUGGUU